rnacentral:rRNA from 1 species
GUGCCAGCAGCCGCGGUAAUACAGAGGGUGCGAGCGUUAAUCGGAAUUACUGGGCGUAAAGCGCGCGUAGACGGUUUUGUAAGUCAGAUGUGAAAUCCCCGGGCUCAACCUGGGAACUGCAUUUGAAACUGCAUGGCUAGAGUACGGUAGAGGGAAGUGGAAUUUCCGGUGUAGCGGUGAAAUGCGUAGAUAUCGGAAGGAACACCAGUGGCGAAAGCGACUUCCUGGACCAGUACUGACGUUCAUGUGCGAAAGCGUGGGGAGCAAACAGGAUUAGAUACCCUGGUAGUCCACGCCAU